AAGAUGGCCUCAGCAAAAUGCAGCCCUUGGCCAAGUGUGCUUUUAUUGCAGGCUUGCUGUCCCAGACUGUCUCACUGCUCUUCUGUGACCUAUUGCAUCAUGUGUCAACCAGACGUGAUUCCUGGCAUGGGGUGCACCAGGAGGACCAGACCAGCCUCCUCCUGGAGCUCAGCCCUGUAGUCACUGCUAAUAGUUUAGCAACAUCUCUGUUGAGAGGAGAAGGCCAUGUUCUCUGAGUGGUUUGGGAGUCACUCGAUCCAAACAUAACAAGUGAUUGAUAGCCAUGAGACAGUCUUUCCUGGAGCAUCACCUACUAAGGCUACACCCAUUUCCCCCCCCCCCCCCCCCCCCACACACACACACUUUUUGUGGUUAAUGCUAUAUUUUCUUAAUGGUUAUUUUCCUUUGAUGUUCAAACAGCACCCAGAAUCCCAGACAGUGUGGAAAGAAAGCCCGUGCCUGGUUGAGUUGUUUCAGAACACACCUUCACAUGGGAUGCAGGAGACACCCCAGUACUUCCCAGCUGCUGGGCUGGGCUGGAAUCCUCCUUUCCUGGGGAUCAAUGAUCCAAAUCACAGCUGCCACAUCAGCCCUUCCCCACAUUUCAGUGUGGCCAUCAGGUCGCUGUGCUUAGGCAGGCUGAGGACUGGGUGCCGAAAAGGACAUGGAUUUGGCCUGUCCCAGAACGUACAGGAUAGAGUCACAUUUCCCAUGAUUUCUGGGGUCUGCAGCAAUAGUAGGUUCCUGGCACCCUCUAAUGGAAAAGACAAGUCACUGACUUGCUGUUCUGCCAGCCUGCCUUUCUAUUUUUAAUUUAAUACCCCAGUAAUCACUCCCAGCUGGGUGAGAUACAGCUCACACCAGUGCGGACCCACAGCAUGAGCUGAGCAAAUGUCAGGGCUGUGCAGGGAAGGAGCCACAGCCCCGAGCCCAGAACUGCUGCUUUACUUAUGGAAAUGAGAGGCAGGAGCUGAUCAGCUCUGACAUUUGUGCCUUGGUUGUGAAUGUGAGACAUGUGCUAUUGGGCUAACCGUGUUAUAUGGCCGGUCCUUCCCUUGGUGGUGUUUUGGGGCUUAUUUUUCCAAGCUUGGCAGCUGAAUCUUGGCCAGCGUGCUCUGGAGCUGAACAGAAUUGCUGCUUGGAUCAGAUGUUGCUUAUUUUAUUUAUUAUUUUUAAAGCUCUCUGCUUGCUAGGAUGUGAUGCAGGUAGCUGAGGUCCCAUACACAGCCCUUUGGCGGGGGUCCUGCUGGCCUUUCAGAGGCAUGGAAAAGGCCACGUAGGUGGUAUUCCUGCAUCCUCAGUGGAAGGAUGUUUGGGUUUUGGGAUCAGGAUUUUGGGGUCGGCGUGCAGAUCCCAAGUUGGGCCCUGCAGAAAUGGCAGCCCCAGGGGCUCUGUCCCAUGCACUGCCCUACCCAGACACUGCCUUGCUUGGGGAGGGUGCAGGCUGUAGGUGGGAGCUGACACAUCCAUGCCAGCGCCGAAGCUCUGGGUUUGCUGCCAGAUGCAAACAGGGCAAAGGUGGUGCUUCCCUUCAGCGAAAAGCUCCAGCAAAAGACAGCAGAAGAAAACAGCAAAGUGCCCCGAGCUUGGCCAACGUGCCAUUGCUGGCAGAGCAAAACUGGGGCUGCCAGGUGACAGAAACCCACGGAGGUCUGCUGUCCCUUGGCAUUGCUGAGCAUGGGGGGAUGCAUUUUAUUGGGGAGCUGAAGGCAGAGCUCUGGGAGCGAAGGCUGCUGCUGGAAUUGGGCAGCUGGCUUCUCAAAUCCCGUUAAAAUUCUUUUACUUUUAGACUCCGGGUUUCCACAGCAACAAAGCACACAGCUCUCUGCGGAGUUCGGGGCUAUAAAUAAGCCCUGGAUCUAUAGUUGUGAUAUUAGCUACGAGGGCUUUGAGGAAUCGCGUGUGGUGACGAAGCGAAGGGCUCAGUGCUGGAAGGAAAUGUGUUUAAUGAGGAAAUGAUGGUUCCCAGCUCGGUUUGGAUGGUGGUUUUCCUUUGUUCAAAGGCACCAAGCACAGCACCCAGUAUGGCCCUGCCUUACCCAGGGUGGCACUGAUGUCUGUAGGGUCGUUGGAUAUGGUGCCCCACAGUCUCUGCUUGGCACAGCUCUGCAUUUCAGUGUGUUUCUUACAAACAAGAGGUGGCCUUCAGCCACUUUCACAGCCCCAGUCCUUCUGGGGAAGCAAUGAAGCAGCCAAGACUGGAGCAGACCCUCAUAACCCCAUUCUCAUCGCAUGCUGCUGCCAUACAGUGACCCCAUGGCUCUGCUGUGUGUGCCGUCCCUAUUUAGGGAAGGACUUGAUGUGUGCUAACCUGAAGCACAGCUCUCAAUCCUAAUUGCUUCCCUGAGGUGGGAUUGCUGUGGGUCACGGUCAGAGGGCAGGAAUUUGGGGUGCAGGACCCAAAGGAGAGCUGCCCUCACCUCUCCACACCACCUCGUAAACAGAGCUGCAAUCCCAGAAGGAAGGGUAAAUACGAGCUGUGUUGGGAGCAGGGAGGAAAUUAAAUAGCUAUCACAUGGCAUACAAACAAGCUCGUCAGGGAGAGGGAAUUGGAGGCUUGGAGCUCACAGAACAGAUUUGUAGACAGUAGUGAGGAGGAGGAGGAGAUGAGGAAGGAGAAGAAAGGAAACACAAAUCAAGGAGUUAUUUAGAGUUUCCUCUGCUGCAGACAGAAGGUCCGUGUUAUUCAAACAGAUGUACUGCGUGCCACCGGUUCUCUUCUGUUUGUUAUUUUAAGGAUGGUCUUAAGAGGAAAAUAAAUUCCACUGGAAGGCUCUUUUAUACCCAUUUUAGGCAGUCUGUGGAGAGGAGCCCAAGGAGUGGGGCUGGGGAGAUUCCUCCAGGCUGAGUGGUGCUGCAGCCCCUGCAGCGAGGGAACCCACUGGCAGCACCCACUGCUGCUCCCCUGGCAGAACUAUGGGAAGGUACGGUCUGCUGGCACAGAGGUGGGCUUUGGGAAAACCCAUGUAAUGCUGACGUGGGGCUGCUGAUCUGUCAGUCUCUCCUCUGUGCCUGGAAAGAUCACGGAGCAGAUCCUCCUGGAAGUUACACACGUGGAAGAGAGGGAGGUGAUACGGGAUAACCAAGCCAUGACCAACCCAGUGCCAUUCUACAGUGGCUCAACUGUGUCAGUGGGCAAGGGAAGAGUCACCAGUGUCAUCUGUCACCUAUCCGGAGUUCAGUUGGGCCUUUGACACAACUUCCCCCAUAGCAUCCUUCUCUCCAAAUCAGAAAGAUGUGGAUUUGAUGGGUAGAAUUGUUUGGUGGGUGAGGAACUGGUUGUGAGGUGGUACCCAGCGAGUGGUGGUCAGUGGCUCAAUGGAGGUCAAGUAGUUGGGGCUCUGAGCACCUGAUGGAGCUGUAGGUGUCCCUGCUCGAUGCUGGGGAGUUGGAGCAGAUGGCCUUUAAAGGUUCCUUCCAAGACACAAGCUGUGGGUCUGCUGGUGCUUCUCUUAUCCUGCAAUCAAACGAUCAUCACGCAGUGGAGAAGCAGCCCUUCGAAGGUAAGACACAAAGAAGUUGGAAUCAAUGAGUAACACUGGAAAGAAGAGGCACUGCAGAGGAAGCAGGCAUCACGCCCAUUCUCCGAGGGCUCCUUCCUGCUCCCACUGAAAUCAAAAGGAGUUUUGGAGUUGGCACUAAUUAGUACAGCUGGCUGAAUAAUGCAUAACGAGCGGUUCAUUCAGCUAAUUUCAUCUCUUUUUUUUUUUUCCCUAUUCAUGAAUUGCCCGUGAACCAACCCCAGUCUUCUCAUUCUGGUUGUCGUUCAGGAGUUAUUUGUGGGCUUCUUCAGGAAAUAACCCAGCGUGCCACUGCAGCACACGUCUCAGCAUGUCAAUAUAGGAUGUUUGCACAGGGGUUUGAAGCGCAGGGCAGGUAGCAGGGAGGGCACAUGGCAUUACCUCUCACCGAGCUGAUAGUUUUGCAGCUAGCAAGUGUAGCACGGGUUCUAAACACUGCAAAGAAACACUGAAUAUUGAUUUUUGGUAAACAUUUGUGCAUGCUCCUUUCUUCCUUGCGCUUUCUCCUUGAAGGGAUCAAGCUGGUAAGUGCAGUUCCAACCCAAAGCCAAGAGGGGAGGGAUGUGAUAUGAAAACACCCCAAGGAAUGUCACUGGAACAUUCAAGUAAACACUUCCAGACUUUAUUUUCCAGAUGUGGCCGCAGCAAAGACCAAAUUAAUGCUGUAGAACAGCUGAUUCCGACAUCGGAUGUGGGACAGCAACUGCACCCUGGGAGCUGUGCACCCAUCCUGGGCUGCUGGGAGGGCACCCAUGGGGGGGUUGGAUCCAUGGCAAGGAGCUGUGGCAGCUCUGGGACGAGGAAAUGGAAAGUGAUUGCAAUGUGGUCUCGUUUUGCAAAGGGUCACCCAAAUGGGACUUUCCCGGGAGGGGGAUUAACGUAGGGGGGGAAUAGCGGGGCUGCGAUGGGGAUGGUGGGAAGGGGGAGGCGGGGAAAGCCAAGGAUGUUUGUUUUGCAGCGGUUUCAGGGAUGAAUGCCUGAGGAGGAAGGAAGCCGGGGGCAGUGUUUUGGCGUCCGGGGGCUGUGGGUUUUCGUGCUGAGGCGAUCCCCGUGGGGAGCCAGGCGAAGCCAGAAGGCUCUGAGCAUCUCCUGGGGCCGAGCAACCGCAACCCGGGGGGGGGGGGGGGGGGGGGGCAGCCCUAUCGGCGAUGCCUUCAGCAGGAAAAACAACCCGACAAACCCCGAUGUCGGGAUGUGUGCCCGGCAGAGGGCAGUGCCACCCGCCCGGCACAUCGCUGCCAUCUGCAGCCACCUCCGAGCCCCAUCCCAACCUUUCACCAUGCGAAAGACCAGGGAUGCUGCCGGCCCGACGUCUGGCUUUUCUUUUUUUCUUUUUUUUACGUUACUUUCUCUAUUUCUCAUGGUUUUUUUUUUCCACGCUCUUCAAAGCCGGGGUUUGUUUGUUUGUUUUUCAAAAGCAAGGGUUCCAAUCCCAGCAUCUGUGAGAAACCUUACAGGAAAUAACCCGUGUGCGCAGAAGUGCUCCAGUGUUCCACGCCGUGGCAAUGUUUGUCUUUCCCCUCCGUAUAACAACGCAGAUGGCACGCAAGGCCAUUGCUCGCUGCGUCCUGCCAGCAAAGAGAGCUUUGGGGUCAGAAAACUGCAGCCCUGUGGGGUUGUGGGAAUGGGAGAAGUGGGCGUCGGGGUGGUCAGAAGUGUGCAGUUUGGGUUUUGGGAAUGGGGAGCGAGCUUUUGGAAGAGGGCAGCCAGGAGGGGACAACGCUGAUGCCCUGAAAUGCCAAAUGGGUCAAUGCUUCUGCCUGUUUUAUGACAAGCGUUGAAGAGCUUCCUGAAACAAGCAGAGGAAUAUGGAGGGCUGGGAGAAAGGAGCCCUGUGGGCUGGAAGCUCUGGGCACACGGUAGGGCUGGGCAAUCCAACAGGCCUUUAGCCAGCAGCUUACAUGGAGUUCUCCCUUUCGUUUCAAUAGGUAGAGAUUCUCAUCUCCUUUUCACGCCGUGGAUGGAUUAUACCCUGAAAUAGCUCCUCUUCCAUGUGAUGUUGUGCUGUGUGAAGCAGGUAACUUCAUUUUCCUACGCCUUUGGGCAUUCCAGCAAUGCUGCGCCGAGUCCAACGCACACAGAGAUGGAAUUACGGUGCUGGAUGUGGCUGAGGUUGCUCUGCUGUGCUGCUUAAGGGAGGAGAAGCCCUUCAGCCGUGCUCCUUGUGAUGCAGCAUCGAGGCCAUGUGAGAACUACCCAGACCUUCCAGCUGACAGGUGAGGACUGAAGUAGUUGCAUCCAUCCAGCAUAGGUGCGACACGAGCUGCCACAAAGCUGAUCUGCUUUGCUCGGGGUGGUGCUGUGCCCUGCCUGCUGGCUAGCCAGGACCUCUCGGUGUCCUGCGGUGGAAUGAAUGAUACAUCACGCUCCUCUGGGCUUCCAAGGGCUUCGUGCAAAGCUGCUGCCGAUCUGAGGGAAGGCUCCCAGUUCACACGCUGCACUUCAGGUUAGAGAUUGCCUUAACGUGGUGUUCUCAGCACGGGUUAGAGACGCCCAUGGAGGCAAUGAAGCCACCAGAGGGCUCGGUGUCGUCACGCAGGCUGCCUGGCCCCCUACUCAGCGCAAUGCAAACCCUUCCUAAGGGACCGAGAGCGCUUCCUCUGCGUCUCCCUUCCUCCGAGGGACAAUACCGGGCAUGGCAGGAAAAGGAAGUCCGCGUGGUUCCCAUUGCACGACGGGUUGCUUGCAAGCAAAGAACAGGGGGAGGCUCUGGCACUUCCAAGGACCCUCUCGCAGCUGGAGCCGCACAGAAGCGGGGCUGCACGAUGUGGGGCGUUAUGCGACCCCAGUGGGCUUCUGCCUGCUGCUGGCCCUGCGUUUCGACGGCACCCCAACGAAUGCGGUUUGACGGGCUGCGAUGCGCCAGAAGGGAAUGAGGAAAGGGACCAACGAGCAGUACUGGGGGUUUUCGCCACUCGGAAGCCGACGGCCAAAACAACUCUGGUUGCAGACAGCCCCACUGUCACCGUCACCACGGCCCUUCAGGGCGUACACAUCCCCC
ensembl:lncRNA